rnacentral:rRNA from 1 species
GACGAACGCUGGCGGCGUGCCUAAUACAUGCAAGUCGAACGCAGUGGGGACGGGUGAGUAACACGUGGGUAACCUCCCAUCAGAGGGGAUAACACUUGGAAACAGGUGCUAAACCGAUACUGAUGGAUGGACCCGCGGGGCAUUAGCUAGUUGGUGGGGAAACGGCUCACCAAGGCCACGAUGCCUAGCCGUCCUGAGAGGUUGAUCAGCCACACUGGUACUGAGACACGGCCCAGACUCCUACGGGAGGCAGCAGUAGGGAAUAUUCGUCAAUGGGCGCAAGUCUGACCCAGCCAUGCCGCGUGAGUGAAGAAGGUUUUCGGAUCGUAAAACUCUGUUGUUAGGGAAGCGUUAUCUACCCAGAAAGCCCCGGCUAACUACGUGCCAGCAGCCGCGGUAAUAC